UACGAAGGGGGCUAGCGUUGCUCGGAAUCACUGGGCGUAAAGCGCACGUAGGCGGAUCGUUAAGUCGGAGGUGAAAUCCUGGAGCUCAACUCCAGAACUGCCUUCGAUACUGGCGAUCUUGGAGUCCGGGAGAGGUGAGUGGAACUCCGAGUGUAGAGGUGAAAUUCGUAGAUAUUCGGAAGAACACCAGUGGCGAAGGCGGCUCACUGGCCCGGUACUGACGCUGAGGCACGAAAGCGUGGGGAGCAAACAGG
rnacentral:rRNA from 1 species